GUGGGGAAUAUUGGACAAUGGGCGCAAGCCUGAUCCAGCCAUGCCGCGUGAGUGAUGAAGGCCUUAGGGUUGUAAAGCUCUUUCACCGAUGAAGAUAAUGACGGUAGUCGGAGAAGAAGCCCCGGCUAACUUCGUGCCAGCAGCCGCGGUAAUACGAAGGGGGCUAGCGUUGUUCGGAUUUACUGGGCGUAAAGCGCACGUAGGCGGUUUGUUAAGUCAGGGGUGAAAUCCCGGAGCUCAACUCCGGAACUGCCUUUGAUACAGGCAAGCUAGAGUCCGGAAGAGGUAAGUGGAACUCCUAGUGUAGAGGUGGAAUUCGUAGAUAUUAGGAAGAACACCAGUGGCGAAGGCGGCUUACUGGUCCGGAACUGACGCUGAGGUGCGAAAGCGUGGGGAGCAAACAGGAUUAGAAACCCGUGUAGUCC
rnacentral:rRNA from 1 species